rnacentral:rRNA from 1 species
UACGAAGGGGGCUAGCGUUGUUCGGAAUCACUGGGCGUAAAGCGCACGUAGGCGGAUUUUUAAGUCAGGGGUGAAAUCCCGAGGCUCAACCUCGGAACUGCCUUUGAUACUGGAGAUCUUGAGUCCGGAAGAGGUAAGUGGAACUGCGAGUGUAGAGGUGAAAUUCGUAGAUAUUCGCAAGAACACCAGUGGCGAGGGCGGCUUACUGGUCCGGAACUGACGCUGAGGUGCGAAAGCGUGGGGAGCAAACAGG